AAAAAAAAAAAAAAAAAAAAAAAAAGGCGGGGGCUAAGUCAACUGAGGGGCAAAAAUGUCAUUUUGCCCCUCCAACCCAAAUAGGGGUCCAAGGAGAAUCCAGCCAGAUUGCCUGCAAAAGAAAGAAGAGGUUAGAGAGAGGUUAGAGAGAGGUCGGCCGGGAAGAUUAACGGACCACCGCCGGAAUCCAUCUCCAGACGAGACUCGUACCAGGAUUGAGGGGCUAUCAAGGCCUACGCACCAUCAAAGCCUAAGAACAUUUCGCGGGGAACAACUCACGCACGGUCUGUGAAGAAGUUUGGCCGAGACCUCAACCCAAAGGCAGAGAUCCGAGGGUCAUCCGAGAACGGUGAGCAAACUUCCGGCGUUCUUAAAUCCUCCGAUAGUCAAGAAAAAAAUUAUAAAAAGAAUACUAGGACGUAGCCUGUAACACGAUCUAGAACGUUGCCGAAGGAAUCAUAUUGAUCCGAUCUACGGAUCGAAAGAUAUGAAAAUCGGAAAACAAAAACCGACUGGGUUUCGGUUUCCAAAGGACAGAGAAGAAAAAAAAA